GGAGUGGUAUCGAAGUGGUCAUAACGAGCUGCACUGGAAAUGCAGUGUACCUCCGGGUACCGCGAGUUCGAAUCUCGCCCACUCCGCCA
rnacentral:tRNA from 1 species